GGGCCACGCCUUCCCCCAGAGCGUUAUUGUUUGACAGCUCAAAAUUAUAAACUGAAACACAAAAAGAAAGAAAUGCUGAACAAGCCUCAGUUGACAUUAUCUGCUACUUUCAAGACGACUUCAACUGGAGGACUAACUAAACCACUCACCAGUCCACUGCUGCAAUCACUAGCUACACCAACUAAUCAAAAGUCACUCUCACUCACGAACAUGCCCAAGUUAUGAACUCUUAAUGUUUUCAUUGAAAUUAUACAAUUUAAUGAUAUUACCAGCCACACCAAUACAAGUACCAGAG